rnacentral:rRNA from 1 species
AGUUAUCGUUUAUUUGAUAGCACCUUACUACUUGGAUAACCGUGGUAAUUCUAGAGCUAAUACAUGCUAAAAAUCCCGACUUCGGAAGGGAUGUAUUUAUUAGAUUAAAAACCAAUGCCUUCGGGCUUUCUGGUGAUUCAUGAUAACUUCUCGAAUCGCAUGGCCUUGCGCCGGCGAUGGUUCAUUCAAAUUUCUUCCCUAUCAACUUUCGAUGCGAAGGUCUUGUCUUCGCAUGGUUACAACGGGUAACGGAGGGUUAGGGCUCGACCCCGGAGAGGGAGCCUGAGAAAUGGCUACCACUUUUAAGGAAGGCAGCAGGCGCGCAAAUUACCCAAUCCCGACACGGGGAGGUAGUGACAAUAAAUACUGAUACAGGGCCCUUAUGGGUCUUGUAAUCGGAAUGAGUACAAUUUAAAUCCCUUAACGAGGAACAAUUGGAGGGCAAGUCUGGUGCCAGCAGCCGCGGUAAUUCCAGCUCCAAUAGCGUAUAUUAAAGUUGUUGUGGUUAAAAAGCUCGUAGUUGAACCUUGGAUUUGGCUGGCCGGUCCCCCUCACCGGGUGCACUGGUCCGGCCGGAUCUUUCCCUCUAUGGAACCUCAUGCUCUUCGGAGUGUGUUGGGGAAAUAGGACUUUUACUUUGAAAAAAUUAGAGUGCUCCAGGCAGGCCUAUGCUCGAAUAGUACAGCAUGGAAUAAUAGAAUAGGACGUGUGGUUCUAUUUUGUUGGUUUCUAGGACCGCCGUAAUGAUUAAUAGGGACAGUCGGGGGCAUCAGUAUUCAGCUGUCAGAGGUGAAAUUCUUGGAUCUGCUGAAGACUAACUACUGCGAAAGCAUUUGCCAAGGAUGUUUUCAUUGAUAAGGAACGAAAGUUAGGGGAUCGAAGACGAUCAGAUACCGUCGUAGUCUUAACCAUAAACUAUGCCGACUAGGGAUCGGACGAUGUUAUUUUUUGACUCGUUCGGCACCUUUCGAGAAAUCAAAGUGCUUGGG